AUGGAGCAGCUCGUCAAGGACAGCAACGCCCUUGAUUUUGAAAUUGGAGAAGGAAGAUGGAUAACAGAGUUCAGUACAGUAAGGAUGCUCUACAAUAUAGGAAUCCAGACAAGGACGAUGAGCAAUACACGACCCCACGGCCGAGCCGAUGACCAACCACCAGGGAAGUGGACAUGUGAAUAA
rnacentral:rRNA from 1 species